GACGAACGCUGGCGGCGUGCUUAACACAUGCAAGUCGAACGGAAAGGCCUGCUUUCCCUUGUGGAUUGCGGGUACUCGAGUGGCGAACGGGUGAGUAACACGUGAGUGAUCUGCCCACAACUUGGGUAUAAGCCUGGGAAACUGGGUCUAAUUCCCGAUAGGACUGCAGGGUGGUGCCUGUGGUGGAAAACGAUUUUCUAGUGGUUGGGGAUGAGCUCGCGGCCUAUCAGCUUGUUGGUGGGGUAAUGGCCUACCAAGGCGGCGACGGGUAGCCGGCCUGAGAGGGUGGACGGCCACAUUGGGACUGAGAUACGGCCCAGACUCCUACGGGAGGCAGCAGUGGGGAAUAUUGCACAAUGGGCGGAAGCCUGAUGCAGCGACGCCGCGUGGGGGAUGACGGCCUUCGGGUUGUAAACUCCUUUCGACCGCGAGGAAGCCACCUGGUUGGAAGGGUGGUGUCGGUAGUGUUAGAAGAAGCACCGGCUAACUACGUG
rnacentral:rRNA from 1 species